rnacentral:lncRNA from 1 species
GCAGCUUGCGUCAUCCUGUCGGUUCUCCUUGUCUUGGGGGGCAAAUAAAACCCACUUUUCCACACCAGGUGUGAGUGGGUGUUCCUCCCUAGGCAGACCUUGGGUUCCCAGGAAGCUGCCCUGUUCCCAUCCUGGGUGGUUUAUACACUCCCACCCUGGUAUUUCCUGCCAGCUUCUAGCAUCUUCUCUCCCCAGCCGACCGACACCCCGUCUGUACACCAGUCACAGGACACCUCGACGUUCCACCCGCUAAAGCCGUGGAGGGCAUCACCCAUCCUAAAAACAGGCAUCCUUUAGGACAGGUGGCGGCCAGAUGGACCAGCUUGUCCAUUUUUAGAACUCGCUUUCCCUGCAGAAAUGCACGUUCCAAUGGUAGGAGUGUGUGGGGAGCCGGUUUGCAGCCAACAGUGUGGGUUUGACACCCUGUUGAGGGUGACCUCAUGCUUUACACACCCACGCAUCCCCUGAGCCCUGAGCACCGCGGGGGGCUGCUGGAUUCCUCCUUAGUGACUUCUGCUCUGCCGCAUGCAGGCUCUUGCCUGCACAGCCCGCACAACCUGUAAAGAGCCCCCCUCGCCCCUUGGCUGCUGCCUCCCUUCUCCGUUUUCCUUCAAGAGCUGCCUCGUUCUUGUGUUCGAUUUCGUGGUGGGGUUUUCACCCUUUGGGAAUCUUAGGGUCAGGACAUAGUGGACUAAGAUCUAGACUGGAUUACUCCUUGCAGCUUCUAUGUCGGGAGCAACAUUGAAUUCUUCAUGGGGAACCCUGCUGCCUGCAGGUUCAGGACCACUGGGAGGUGAGCAGAGUUGGAGUCAAGAGACCUGUCCCUGUUUUAAUGGAAGAACCCCAAGACUUGGCCGACAACCUUUUUUUUUUUUUUUUUUCUUUUUAAGGUCACAUCUGCGGCAUAUGGAAGUUCCCAGGCCAGGGGUCGAGUCGGAGCUGCAGCUGCCAACCUACACCACAGCCACAGCCACGCCAGAUCCAAGCCAUGGCUGCAGUGUAGUCCAGCAGCUGUAGCUCCGAUUCGUCCCCUAGCCUGGGAACUUGUCUAUGUGCUUCAGGUGCAGCCGUAAAAAGAAAAAAAAAAAAAAAAAAGGAAGAGGCUGGUGGACUAUCCAGGUGGGCUGGCGUAACCGCAGGGCUUCUUCAAAGGGGAGGAAGCAGCGGAGGAUGAGAGCAGAAUGACUCUGCGAGAAGGACUCAGCCCAGCACUGCUGGCUUUGCAGGCAGAGAAGGGGACCGUGAAACCAGGAAUCUGCAGACUAGGGACCGGAUGGGCCCUGGAACACCAGCCUGCCGACACCAUGAAUGUCUCCCCGUAAGCGCUCUCUGGGACAGCCAACCUCUACAGUUUUGCAAGAGAGGGACUCCGGGUCACUGAAAGUCCCAACGUCUGUGCUUACAGCAGCGCCGGGAAGCUAAGACAGCUACCCGUGUGGGUGACUCUGGACCAGUCACUCAGAUUCCCUGAGCACUGGCUCCCUGGUCACAUGAAGGUGGCAUCCGGCUCACAGAACGGUUGCCCGAAUCCGCAAAGGUGGUGGAAGCCGUGUUGAUCCCGCGGGCUGUCCGCCGAGCGUUCGUGGAAAGAACCGAAGCCCUGGAUGGAAGCGGGAAAAACAGCUCCUGGGAAGAGAUUCACGUUCUGUUACAAAGUAUGAAUUUGUGUCCGUCGCCUCUUGCCAGGUAACAAAUGAUCCUAAAAGCAGCUGUUUAAAAGGACAUAAAGAUUAUACACCUCUGGGAGUUCUCGUGAUUCCGUGGGUUAUAAACCCAGCUAGUGUCCAAGAGGGUGCGAGUUUGAUCUCUGGUCUCGCUCAGUGGGUUAAGGAUCCGGCGUUGCCAUGAGCUGUGGUGUAGGUGGCAGAGGCAGCUCGGAUCCCGUGUUGCUGUGGCUGUAGUGUAGGCUGGUGGCUACAGCUCCGAUUCGACCCCCAGCCUGGGAACAUCCUUAUGCUGCAGGUGCAGCCCUAAAAGAAAAGAAAAAAAAAAGGACAAAACACUCUGGCUCGAUGACAACCGUUUAGCACAGACCCAGUCUAUAGGACGGAAGCCAGGAACGCUCUUCAAAUCCCUCCAGCGUCCACAGCAGCCUCCGUCCGAUGCCAGAGAGUGCCCUGACCCCAAAUGUCUGGAGAGCCUAGGUUGAAAAACACCACCUUCUCCAAAGCCAGGGUUGUGUACCUUCCAAGUUCCUACAGACCCACCCUUUUGCUCUCUCACCCUCAGCAUCCAACCAUCAGCAACCGGUUUUAUUCCAAGGUCCCAGGAGCAGUUUCAUGGCUCUUUUUCCAACCUCUGUUCAGCACCCCGUUUCAAAGCCAAGCCACUCUGUUAGAGCAACCACCCCUUUCUGGAGGGAGCCGCUUCGGGAUCUGUCACCCAGAGCUCUGAGUCAUAGCACCAUCUUUAUGGUAGAAUUUAUUGCAGAAUGAUAGAAUUGCAGUUUCCUUGGUCCUGGCCCCGCCAUAGCAAAGCAUUGAAAUGGCAGGCGUUUUACAAGUUUAUUAGAGCAAAAGAGAGAGACUGCGCCUGCACAUGGGUGAAAGAGAGGGCCUGCCUCACUCUGCAGGUGUUUUUAUAUCCCCGUGCUUGAUGCCUUAUUUGCGUGGGGCACAGGUUACAUAGAGGCGGAACGAGGAAUGGGUGACAUUCCUUCCCAGGUGGCUGAAGGUCGGGGCAGUGGCUUACAACGAGACAUGGCCAGAGGCUUUGGGAUUUAAUCUCCUUGCCGGGGAUUUGAAGCCUGUAACAUUAAAAUCAGCUUGACUUUCAUGCUUCUGCAGAAUGCCGUCUGGAUUUGCUUGUAAUACGGUGCAUCUGCACCAGGGCGGCGGGGCGGGGGGGGCUCCAAUCCGCUGGGACAUCCUUCUUUUGGUCUUGCCUGGGGCCAGUCACGUUGAUGCUGCCACCUGUCCAUGAAGCGGUCCUAUCCGAGACCAGACCAUCAGAAGGGUCCCCCCGUCGAGUCCAUUCUCAACAGCCAACCCAUAGAAACAUGAGUGGGAUGGACGGGGAGUUUGGGGUGAGUAGAUGCAAACCAGUGCUUUUGGAGUGGAUAAGCCAUGCGGUCCUGCUGUACUGCCCAGGGAACUCUGGCUGGUCCCUUGUGAUGGCACAGGAUGGAGGAGAAAGUGAGCAAAAGAAUGUGGGUGUGUAUAUGACGGGGUCCCUUUGCUGUACAGCAGAAAUGGAAAGAACAUUGUAAAUCAACCAUAAUUU